AUUGAACGCUGGCGGCAGGCCUAACACAUGCAAGUCGAGCGGCAGCGGGAAAGUAGCUUGCUACUUUUGCCGGCGAGCGGCGGACGGGUGAGUAAUGCCUGGGAUCUGCCCAGUCGAGGGGGAUAACUACUGGAAACGGUAGCUAAUACCGCAUACGCCCUACGGGGGAAAGCAGGGGACCUUCGGGCUUUGCGCGAUUGGAUGAACCCAGGUGGGAUUAGCUUGUUGGUGAGGUAAUGGCUCACCAAGGCGACGAUCCCUAGCUGGUCUGGGAGGAUGAGCAGGCGCACUGGAACUGAGACACGGUCCGGAGUCCUCCGGGACGCAGCAGUGGGGAAUAUUGCACAAUGGGGGAAGCCCUGAUGCAGCCAUGCCGCGUGUGUGAAGAAGGCCUUCGGGUUGUAAAGCACUUUCAGCGAGGAGGAAAGGUUGGUAGCUAAUAACUGCCAGCUGUGACGUGACUCGCAGCAGAAGCACCGGCUAACUCCGUGCCAGCAGCCGCCGCGGUAA
rnacentral:rRNA from 1 species